rnacentral:rRNA from 1 species
GUGGGGAAUUUUGGACAAUGGGCGCAAGCCUGAUCCAGCAAUGCCGCGUGCAGGAAGAAGGCCUUUGGGUUGUAAACUGCUUUUGUACGGAACGAAACGGUUCUCUCUAAUACAGGGAGCUAAUGACGGUACCGUAAGAAUAAGCACCGGCUAACUACGUGCCAGCAGCCGCGGUAAUACGUAGGGUGCAAGCGUUAAUCGGAAUUACUGGGCGUAAAGCGUGCGCAGGCGGUUUUGUAAGACAGAGGUGAAAUCCCCGGGCUCAACCUGGGAGCUGCCUUUGUGACUGCAAGGCUGGAGUGCGGCAGAGGGGGAUGGAAUUCCGCGUGUAGCAGUGAAAUGCGUAGAUAUGCGGAGGAACACCGAUGGCGAAGGCAAUCCCCUGGGCCUGCACUGACGCUCAUGCACGAAAGCGUGGGGAGCAAACAGGAUUAGAUACCCCGGUAGUCC